GACGAACGCUGGCGGCGUGCCUAAUACAUGCAAGUAGAACGCUGAAGGCGGAGCUUGCUCUUCUGGAUGAGUUGCGAACGGGUGAGUAACGCGUAGGUAACCUGCCUGGUAGUGGGGGAUAACUAUUGGAAACGAUAGCUAAUACCGCAUAACAGUAGAUGUUGCAUGACAUUUACUUAAAAGGUGCAAUUGCAUCACUACCAGUUGGACCUGCGGUGUAUUAGCUUGUUGGUGGGGUAACGGCACACCAAGGCGACGAUACAUAGCCGACCUGAGAGGGGGGUCAGCCACACUGAGACGGAGACACGGCCCAGACGCCUACAGGAAGCAGCAGUAGUGAAUCUGCGGCAAUGGGCGGAAAUCUGACCGAGCAACGCCGCGUGAGUGAAGAAGGUUUUCGGAUCGUAAAGCACUGUUGUAGGGGAAUAACGAGUGUGAGAGUGGAAAGUUCACACUGUGACGGUAACGUACCAAAAAGGAACGGCUAACUACGUG
rnacentral:rRNA from 1 species